CUUUUGGAAGUAAAAAUCAUAACAAGGUGGGAGAUCAUGCGUAGGUGAACCUGCGGAAGAAGAUCAUUAUUGAAUUUAAACAAAGGGUAAUUUAGGUUGUAGCUGGCUCCAUUAAUUUGGAGCAUGUGCACACCUUGUGCUCUUUUUUAAUCCACAUACACCUGUGAACCUGUGAGGCAGAGACAUGGAUGGGAAAACUUUCAUUUAUUUUAAAUUAAUGAUUGGGACCCCUACCCAACCUCUGUCUACUCAACUCUAAUAUAAACUCAAUUUAUUUUAAAACGAAUGUAAUGGAUGUAACGCAUCUAAUACUAAGUUUCAACAACGGAUCUCUUGGCUCUCGCAUCGAUGAAGAACGCAGCGAAAUGCGAUAAGUAAUGUGAAUUGCAGAAUUCAGUGAAUCAUCGAAUCUUUGAACGCACCUUGCGCUCCUUGGUAUUCCUUGGAGCAUGCCUGUUUGAGUAUCAUGAAAUCUUCAAAGUAAAUCUUUUUGUUAACUCAAUUUGGUUUCACUUUGGUAUUGGAGGUUCUUGCAGCUUCACAUGCUGCUCCUCUUUGUUCAUUAGCUGGAUCUCGGUGUUAUGCUUGGUUCCACUCGGCGUGAUAAAUUAUCUAUCGCUGAGGACACCCGGUAAAAAAGGUGGCCAAGGUAAAUGCAGAUGAACCGCUUCUAAUAGUCCAUUGACUUGGACAAUAAAAUAAUUAUUUUAUGAUCUGAUCUCAAAUCAGCAGAUAUGGACAACCCGCUGAACUCAAGCAUAUCAAUAAGCCGGAGGGAAAAGCUAACUGGCUCCGGCCA
rnacentral:rRNA from 1 species